rnacentral:rRNA from 1 species
CACGCUGUAAACGAUGGAUACUAGGUGUAGGGGACGAACGUCCUCUGUGCCGCAGUAAACGCAGUAAGUAUCCCGCCUGGGGAGUACGGCCGCAAGGCUGAAACUCAAAGGAAUUGACGGGGGCCCGCACAAGCAGCGGAGCAUGUGGUUUAAUUCGAAGCAACGCGAAGAACCUUACCAAGGCUUGACAUCCUCUGACGUACGUAGAAAUACGUAUUUCCUUCGGGACAGAGAGACAGGUGG